AAACGACAUCGAAAGCUUGCUUUUGAUGGGCGUCGACCGGCGCACGGGUGAGUAACGCGUAUCCAACCUGCCCACCACUUGGGGAUAACCUUGCGAAAGUAAGACUAAUACCCAAUGAUAUCUCUAGAAGACAUCUGAAAGAGAUUAAAGAUUUAUCGGUGAUGGAUGGGGAUGCGUCUGAUUAGCUUGUUGGCGGGGUAACGGCCCACCAAGGCGACGAUCAGUAGGGGUUCUGAGAGGAAGGUCCCCCACAUUGGAACUGAGACACGGUCCAAACUCCUACGGGAGGCAGCAGUGAGGAAUAUUGGUCAAUGGGCGAGAGCCUGAACCAGCCAAGUAGCGUGCAGGAUGACGGCCCUAUGGGUUGUAAACUGCUUUUAUAAAGGGAAUAAAGUGAGUCUCGUGAGACUUUUUGCAUGUACCUUAUGAAUAAGGACCGGCUAAUUCCGUGCCAGCAGCCGCGGUAAUACGGAAGGUCCGGGCGUUAUCCGGAUUUAUUGGGUUUAAAGGGAGCGUAGGCCGGAGAUUAAGCGUGUUGUGAAAUGUAGACGCUCAACGUCUGCACUGCAGCGCGAACUGGUUUCCUUGAGUACGCACAAAGUGGGCGGAAUUCGUGGUGUAGCGGUGAAAUGCUUAGAUAUCACGAAGAACUCCGAUUGCGAAGGCAGCUCACUGGAGCGCAACUGACGCUGAAGCUCGAAAGUGCGGGUAUCGAACAGGAUUAGAUACCCUGGUAGUCCGCACGGUAAACGAUGGAUGCCCGCUGUUGGUCUGAAUAGGUCAGCGGCC
rnacentral:rRNA from 1 species